UGGCGGACGGGUGAGUAACGCGUGGAUAACCUGCCUCAUACAGGGGGAUAACAGUUGGAAACGGCUGUUAAUACCGCAUAAGCGCACGAAACCGCAUGGUUUUGUGUGAAAAACUCCGGUGGUAUGAGAUGGGUCCGCGUCUGAUUAGCUAGUUGGCAGGGUAACGGCCUACCAAGGCGACGAUCAGUAGCCGGCCUGAGAGGGUGAACGGCCACAUUGGGACUGAGACACGGCCCAAACUCCUACGGGAGGCAGCAG
rnacentral:rRNA from 1 species